UCGCUUGGCCACGGGCAGCCAGGCGCUCACACCAGCUGGCCUCUGUUCGCGCCCUGGCCACCGCAGGAGUGCCACUGCUGUCUACACAGAAAACUUCCCGUGUGUCCUCUAAGAUCCAACCCAACUACGCUGCCUUUCUCUGGGUCUUCCUAUUACAAACCUGUGGAUCCACCUGUCGGGACCUGACUGUAAUGUGCAGAUGCCCCCAACAUCACGAGGCCACCAGGAUGCCUACCUGUGCUCCUUUGUCACCUGCAUAAAUGACUGCCUCCCA